rnacentral:rRNA from 1 species
GAAGCUUGCUUCCUGAUUCNGCGGCGGACGGGUGAGUAAUGCCUAGGAAUCUGCCUGGUAGUGGGGGNCAACGUUUCGAAAGGAACGCUAAUACCGCAUACGUCCUACGGGAGAAAGCAGGGGACCUUCGGGCCUUGCGCUAUCAGAUGAGCCUAGGUCGGAUUAGCUAGUUGGUGAGGUAAUGGCUCACCAAGGCGACGAUCCGUAACUGGUCUGAGAGGAUGAUCAGUCACACUGGAACUGAGACACGGUCCAGACUCCUACGGGAGGCAGCAGUGGGGAAUAUUGGACAAUGGGCGAAAGCCUGAUCCAGCCAUGCCGCGUGUGUGAAGAAGGUCUUCGGAUUGUAAAGCACUUUAAGUUGGGAGGAAGGGCAGUCAGCGAAUACCUUGCUGUCUUGACGUUACCGACAGAAUAAGCACCGGCUAACUCUGUGCCAGCAGCCGCGGUAAUACAGAGGGUGCAAGCGUUAAUCGGAAUUACUGGGCGUAAAGCGCGCGUAGGUGGUUUGUUAAGUUGAAUGUGAAAUCCCCGGGCUCAACCUGGGAACUGCAUCCAAAACUGGCAAGCUAGAGUAGGGCAGAGGGUGGUGGAAUUUCCUGUGUAGCGGUGAAAUGCGUAGAUAUAGGAAGGAACACCAGUGGCGAAGGCGACCACCUGGGCUCAUACUGACACUGANGUGCGAAAGCGUGGGGAGCAAACAGGAUUAGAUACCCUGGUAGUCCACGCCGUAAACGAUGUCAACUAGCCGNUGGGAGUCUUGAACUCUUANUGGCGCAGCUAACGCAUU